rnacentral:rRNA from 1 species
CCCUUAGAUGUUCUGGGCCGCACGCGUGCUACAAUGGCUUAAACAAAGUGUCGUUUUACUUCCUUAGCUGAUAAGCUUGGGUAAACAUUCGAAACUAAGCCUUGCUGGGGCUUGAUCAUUGUAAUUAUUGAUCACUAACAAGGAAUUCCUUGUAAAUGCAAGUCAUCAACUUGCGUUGAAUACGUCCCUGCCCUUUGUACACACCGCCCGUCGCUUCUACCGAUGAAUGAUCCGGUGAACACUUUGGACUCAUGGUCUUCUAGGUUAAUAGCCUUCGACAUUUGAGGAAGUUGUGUAAACCUUAUCAUUUAGAGGAAGAAGAANUCGUANCA